rnacentral:rRNA from 1 species
GACGAACGCUGGCGGCGUGCUUAACACAUGCAAGUCGAACGGAAAGGCCCUUCGGGGUACUCGAGUGGCGAACGGGUGAGUAACACGUGGGUGAUCUGCCCCGCACUUUGGGAUAAGCCUGGGAAACUGGGUCUAAUACCGAAUAGGACCGCGCGCUUCAUGGUGUGUGGUGGAAAGCUUUUGCGGUGUGGGAUGGGCCCGCGGCCUAUCAGCUUGUUGGUGGGGUAAUGGCCUACCAAGGCGACGACGGGUAGCCGGCCUGAGAGGGUGACCGGCCACACUGGGACUGAGAUACGGCCCAGACUCCUACGGGAGGCAGCAGUGGGGAAUAUUGCACAAUGGGCGCAAGCCUGAUGCAGCGACGCCGCGUGAGGGAUGACGGCCUUCGGGUUGUAAACCUCUUCCACCAGGGACGAAGCGCAAGUGACGGUACCUGGAGAAGAAGCACCGGCCAACUACGUG